rnacentral:misc_RNA from 1 species
CCGAGUUUACAACUCCCAAACCCCUGUGAACAUACCUAUCGUUGCUUCGGCGGAUCCGCCCCGGCGCCCUCGGGCCCGGAUCAGGCGCCCGCCGGAGACCCCAAACUCUUGUAUUUCUUUAGUAUCUUCCGAGUAACAAGCAAAUAAAUUA